AGCCUUUAGCCCAACCAGUAUUAAAGGUCCCGCCUGCCCAGUGAAAAUUUUAACGGCCGCGGUAUUCUAACCGUGCAAAGGUAGCGUAAUCACUUGUCUUCUAAAUAAAGACCAGUAUGAACGGCUAAAUGAGGACAGACCUGUCUCCUAUGACUAAUCAGUGAAACUGAUCUUCCAGUACAAAAGCUGGAAUACAGACAUAAGACGAGAAGACCCUGUGGAGCUUCAAACAUCCACUAACAAGCAAAUAAUCUGCCCUAGUGUGUAGUUUUGAGUUGGGGCGACUUCGGAGUAAAAUAAAACCUCCGAGCACAGAGCCACACACUCUCACCAAGACCAACAAGCCAAAGUUAAAACAGCCGACCCAGUAACACUGAUCAACGAACCAAGUUACCCCAGGGAUAACAGCGCUAUCUUCUUCAAGAGUCCCUAUCGACAAGAAGGUUUACGACCUCGAUGUUGGAUCAGGACACCCAAAUGGUGCAGCCGCUAUUAAUGGUUCGUUUGUUCAACGAUUAACAGUCCU
rnacentral:rRNA from 1 species